UACAGAGGGUGCAAGCGUUGUUCGGAAUUAUUGGGCAUAAAGGGCUCGUAGGCGGUUUGUCGCGUCGGGAGUGAAAACCUCGGGCUUAACUCGGGGCUUGCUUUCGAUACGGGCAGACUAGAGGUAUGCAGGGGAGAACGGAAUUCCUGGUGUAGCGGUGAAAUGCGCAGAUAUCAGGAGGAACACCGGUGGCGAAGGCGGUUCUCUGGGCAUGAUCUGACGCUGAGGAGCGAAAGUGUGGGGAGCGAACAGG
rnacentral:rRNA from 1 species